ACCCCUGCCCCCAUCCCUGUGAAAAAGAGGCGACUGCGCGGCGAGGGGUCCCCGUACCCCUAAUCCCGCGUGGUGGCUUGCCUCGGUCCUCUCCUUCCCUGGCCCACCUGCGCUGCUCGGGGAGCUGAGGUCUACGCGGUCCCGCUGCGGAGCAGGCGGGGUGAGGAGCUGCGGUCUGUGAGUCCUCUCCCGCCAAUGGGUGGACCGCGCUGGCGGCCGCGAGCUCGCGGAGCUGGUCAACAAUCUUGGAAGCCACACAUUGAAGCUGGAGGAGCUCCAAGGUAGAAGGACCCUGAGUUCCUGAAUUACUAUUUAGAGCCCACCUUUAAGUAGAAACACUCAUGUACGGGAGCAAGAGGUACAUUUCAAUUUUGUUAAGCUAUUAAAAUUUUGGAGUUUAUAUGUUACAGCAGCUGGCAUUACCAUAACAGGGAUCAUCUCUCCCAUUUACGAUUAAUUAGCACACAUCCCAAAGCAGGAGAGCUUCAUUAAUGGAUACAUCUUAUUAAAAAAGAAAGUUCUUCAGUGCUAACAGGUCAUGUUUAGAAUUUUUCCUUUUAAGUCUUGA
rnacentral:lncRNA from 1 species